GUACUGAGAACCAGGGCCCUCAUAUGAUGAAUAAAUGUUCAGCUACAGUAAGUCCCCUACAUGUGAAUCUUCAAGUUGUGAACCUUCAAAGGUGGAUUCUUUAGCAGCUAAAACACAAUGGAAGCCCACUUUUCAAGGUAUUAUACGUUUUUUCAGUUGCUGCUUUGGAGCAUUUUUCAGUCAUGUGGAAGCGCUUGAGAUGCAAACACGAAGCAGUUCAUAGACUUAACCAAGGCACACAGAGGCAUGAGGAAGGGUGAUCGUCAGUGACAUGAGUGCUUCCUCUGAAAUGAGUCCCAUCCUCAGAGGGCUGCUCCCAGCUGUGACUUCCCACAGCCUCACCUGGGCCUUCUUACACUGAGUUUUUGCCCCUACGCACUUCCCACUCCAGCUUGGCUUUAUGAUUAUUGAUUUCAAAAGUUCUAAUUUGUACAGUAAUUCUGGAUGGCUGA
ensembl:lncRNA